rnacentral:tRNA from 1 species
GGUGGUGUAGCUCAGUGGUAGUGUACUUGCCUAGCAAGCACAAAGCCCUGAAUUCAAUUCCCAGUACUGCCA